GACGAACGCUGGCGGCGUGCUUAACACAUGCAAGUCGAGCGGUAAGGCCCUUUCGGGGUACGACGAGCGGCGAACGGGUGAGUAACACGUGGGUGACCUGCCUUUAGCUCUGGGAUAAGCCUGGGAAACUGGGUCUAAUACCGGAUAUGACUCCGCGGUGCAUGCUGUGGGGUGGAAAGCCUUGUGCGGCUGGAGAUGGGCCCGCGGCCUAUCAGCUUGUUGGUGGGGUGAUGGCCUACCAAGGCGACGACGGUAGCCGGCCUGAGAGGGCGACCGGCCACACUGGGACUGAGACACGGCCCAGACUCCUACGGGAGGCAGCAGUGGGGAAUCUUGCGCAAUGGGCGAAAGCCUGACGCAGCGACGCCGCGUGA
rnacentral:rRNA from 1 species